UUGAAUAUCCUCAGAAGCAUUUUCAUUCUGUACUACUGGACUAGGUUCUGCUUCUGAAAUAGACUCAGCUUCUGGAGUGAUUUCAGCUUCUGGACUAGAUUCAACUUCUGAAUGCUUUUCAGAAUCAGAAGGUUGAUCAGAUUCUGAUGCAUCUUCAGAAUCAGUUGUACCUGCAUUACUUUCACUUUGCUCUGGAGUUUUACUUCCAGGCUCUCUAUCAUCAAAUUUUACAUGCAUAGAUUCUUCAACACAAUGUGUUUCUGAAUUAUACACUCUGUAUGCCUUUGACCUUUCAGAGUAACCUAAAAAGAUUCCUCUUUGAGCCUUGGCAUCAAAUUUCUUCAGAUAGUCUUUAGUGUUCAAGAUGUAACAAGUACAUCCAAACUGAUGAAAGUAAGAGAUAUUGG
rnacentral:lncRNA from 1 species